GCGAACGGGAGAGUAAUACAUCGGAACGUGCCCUGUACGUGGGGGAUAACUAGUCAGAAAGACUAGCUAAUACCGCAUACGACCGUGAGGGCUGAAAGGCGGGGGGACCCGCCAAGGGCCCUCCGCCGCAAAUAGGUACGCGCGCGCGACUGUCUUGAUUUAGUCUAUGUUUGGUGGGGUUAAAGUGCCCUACGCAAGGACGACGAUUCAGUAGCUGUGUCAUGAGUAGUGACGAUCAGCCACACUGGGACUGAGUACACGGUCCCAGAUCUCCUUACGGGUAGAGUCAGCUAGUGGGUGCAAUUGCUGGUACAAAUGGGGUGUCGAAUCCCAUGAUCCNAGUCAACAUGCGCGUCGCUGUUUGCUGUAUAGUAGAGUGUCCUUACGUGUGCUCUGAUAGAGAGUCCACUUUUAUGUUCCGGUAAAGAUACAUAUACGUUCGUCUUGUGUCAUGAAUACUCUGUGUCAGUUGGUUAUGUACG
rnacentral:rRNA from 1 species